CAAUAGCGUAUAUUAAAGUUGUUGCAGUUAAAAAGCUCGUAGUUGGAUUUCUGUGAGAGUGCCGGUGUCGGCUGAUGCUUGUACGCAGGCGCUCUUACAUCCUUCUGUUAACUGUUCUUGGCAUUUUAUUGCUGGUUCAGGGCUCAGAUAUUUUACCUUGAGAAAAUUAGAGUGUUUCAGGCAGGCUUAUGCCGGAAUACAUUAGCAUGGAAUAAUGGAACAGGACCUGUGCGUCUCUCGGGGCGCCGGUCUCCGUUAUUGGUUUCGGGGACUAAUGUAAUGAUUAAUAGGGAUAGUUGGGGGCAUUAGUAUUUAAUAGUCAGAGGUGAAAUUCUCGGAUUUGUUAAAGACUAACUUAUGCGAAANCANNNGCCAAGGAUGUUUUCAUNAG
rnacentral:rRNA from 1 species